AUAUGCGGCGGGCAUAGAAAUCCUUUUUUUUCUGUGGGGAGGAAAGCGUGCCCCUCAAUCCCAAUUUUACCUACAGGGAUCUGCGCUUAGCUAUCGAGGGACCUCGAGAGAUCGAGGGAUAUAUGCAUGCUUGUAGGAGGAGAGAGCUAGGUUCGAAUAGCCUAGAGGCUUGGAAUCCUCUCCCGAAAAAUGCGUGGCCCAGUGGAAAUACGCUAUUUCUCCUACCGCGUCCCCUCGAAAUGGCUCCGCGAGAAGGAAAGGAUCUCGUUUCGCUCGCCGCUCUCCCCUGAAGCGUCUCCGGGAAGAGGCGGCAGUCUCGGCGGCGAGGAAGCGGAGGACGAAGACGACGGAGAGAGGUCGGAAAGGAGCCAGUGCCUUCAGCGGGCAGCGCCGGGCUGGCCCAGCCGGGACCGGCGCGGGGUCAUGGCCAGGCAGCCCCCCUAGCGGCGGCGGCGGACGGGUCCCCCGGGAGGGGCCUGGCUUCUCGCAGCUCUCGCUGCCGGAGAGCCGCCGAGGGCGACGACGGGGGGUCCCCGGCCUGAUCUGCUCCUGCCGGAGAUGCGGCCGCCCGGAGCGCUCCCGUGUGCGGGUGCAGACUGCGGCGCUGCCCUCUGCCCAUCCCUCCGCGGAGAGGUGAAAGGAGCGAGCUCAGCCCCGUGGAGGAUCGCCUGGGGCCUUUCCCUUGCCUCCCUGCUGGCGUUGGUGGUAAGGAAGGAUCUCCAGGGGCAGGUGCUACGUCUGCCCCCUUCGCGGCUCAAAUUCGGCCUCUCCUGAUGGCAACAGGCAAAGUCGUCCUGGUCCAUUUCUCUGGCACCACCGGCUGUGCUCAGUUCGCACCUUGCCUCCAUCGUGUUGGGAGGUGCUCGUGAUUUCUCCCUGUUGCUUUGUGCUUCCUUCAUCCACGACUCCUAUCUGAUCUUUCUUUCCACCAGCCUCGAUCACUAGCAAAUUAAAUUUAGCUGAUCCCAAAUGAGUUACUUCGUUCUCAGCCUUGGGCCUGGAUCGGUCAUUUUUGUUUAUGCUCGAGGCAGCCAAGCAGUCUUUAUUAACAGCAGAAAUGGGGAAUAGGUAAGUUCAUUCUCCCACAUAUGGCUUACACUGAGCCUAAGGGAAAAAAGAAAGAAAGAAAGAAACAGAAGAAGGCUUCACAUAGAGAGUGUAUGUCUUGCUUGAGCCUCUGUAGGUAGGGAGGGACUCUGCCUACAUAGGCUGCUUCCAAAGUAGAAGUUACAUGGGAAAGACACGUGCAGAAAAGAAAAGGUGGCAAUGUCUGAAUACUAGCAGCUGGUAUAUCUUUUCUCCUUCUCCAUGGUAUUGAAGAUCUAGCCAGCAUGGUGAACACAAUGCUCCUGAAGUAUAAGAGAUCCCAGUCUCCUGUCUGGUUUCCCGAGGCCACCAUGAGAGCUAUAAUGUUCUUCACAGCACAUUCUUUCUUCGCAGAGGAUGAAACUUCUCCACAGCUUUUUUUUUUUCUCCUCCCUCCUCCAUGUAUUUCCAAAUCUGUCAGGUUUCAUGCCAUUUUUUUGUGGGUUUUUUUAAUGGCUCAAUAUUUUCCUGGUGUGCCUGAACUCUUGAAACCUAAGUUUUAAAAAUGCAGGGAAACUGUAGAUCUUGUGGAACUUUUGUUACCCAGAGGUGUUUUAGUCUCUCUGAAGAGCACAUCCACGUUGACUUCCAGGUCUAAAUGCAAGGACGAGGGAAGCAAAUUAAAAUAGGAAGAAUGGUAUUUUAAGACACAAGGCCUGUCUUAGACAAAUGUUCUGUAAGCUGGUGACUGCCCACACAGCUGUUGUACGUGGAUUGAUCAGGACAGCUGCCCUGAGGAGGCUUACCAAAAACCCGCCAAACAGCUUUUGCAUCUUAUCCUUGCAUAGAGAAGAUGUAUUCCUAAUACAGCUGUGGGCGAUUUCUUAAGUCUUUCUCCUGUUUCGUGUUUCAAUUUUAAUCCCCUUCUCUCCACCCACAGUCUAAAAUUGUUACUCUGUAAACCUUCUUUCUGAUGUCAGGGAUAUCUUUGCACUUGUUCCUUUUCAGUGGUGGUUUCAGGUAAGUCACAUUGACUGUCCUUAUCUUAUUUCCCAGGCUUGACGCUUUGCCUUGUCUAUCAUUUGGUCUCAAGCUCAUCAUCAUACCUGGGUCCUUACAACUCUGGAUUUGGCUUUCCUAUCAUUAAGCUACAAUAAAAUCUGCAUCAGUCUGUUCUGACUUCUGCCUCAGGGUAUGAUUCUACAGUGACGUGGUAGUUUACACAGGGAUCUGGCAAGUGAUAAUGAUGCUGUAAGGUAAGUAUCAGGGAAGCAGAGAGAGAGAGAACUGGCAAAGAGAAGGACUUCUCGCUUCCAGGGAUGAUGGAUAUCUGCUGCUCCCACUAAAUGAUACCAAAGUGUCUGUUCAUUCACUGCACAGAACUACUGACCUGCCGCAUGGCUCUGACAUGUCCCAGUGCCACAGGCUCCUUUUUUUUUAUUUUGAAUCAAUAUAACUUAGCUGUGGAAGUACUUCUACCUGUCAGAACCCCAGCACCCACAGCCGUGCUUUAUCUGAUAUUUUUUAUGUAGUCAGUUUAAUCAAAGGAUAGUGUCUUUAUCUUUUGGUUCCCACUCUUACAUGUAUUCGUUACUGACCUCAUAUAUAUAAAUCUACUUUAAAUAGUAAAGUUCAUUCUCAUGUGAAGCUGGGAAAACUUUCUAGGCUGUUAGUAGUUCUGACACAGCUUGACUCUUCCAUACAGUAGGUUCCAUGUGAGCUUAUCAUCAGAGAACAAUUUCUUGCUUUUAAUAAGCCAAAACCCAACUUUUCUUCCUAAAUUCACUUAAAGUGCAAUUCUUUACAUACAUUAGCAUGAGAAAAGAGCAGCUAUUUUACAUUCUGAAAACAUACAGCAGCAUCUCAGGUAUUAGAUAUAGCUUAAUUUGUUAAAUACUGACUUCUAACAUGCUCAUAUACUGUGUGUAAAAGACAUUUCCACUCCUCUGACUUUUGAUUCAAAUAAAGAUUGUGUCAAAAUGGCCACCAGGAAGAUUCUUUCUUUUCUAUCGAAGCAAGGUGAAGUUCUAAAUUCAAGCCAUAUCUGUUAAUGUCCCGUGAUGUCUUUCCUGCACAAGGCAUAUUUCAUGAAUAUUCUCAUGUAGGAGGAAAACAAAAGGACUGAAUCUCUGAACUAAAACGGAGUAAAGCUGAACCUUCCCCCUACAGUUUCUGUCUUUGCUUUUCCUGAGGUGCUGCUGCGAGGGCCAGGAAGUAAAUGAACAACAACAAAAAAAAAAAAAAAAAACCAGUUGUUUUUUGUUUUUUUUUCCUUUGAAAUGCACUUUCUGACAGGUUCUGAACAUCUUUUUGAGUAUUGCAGGUACUUUCUUAGAUAAUUGGGCUACAAUUUCAUGUGGAAAGCAUGUACAAAAUGUUUUGUGUAGUGGUGAUUUAAAUGCUGAUCUGAAAGAUCUUGGUAAACAUAAGUGUUCACAUAGGUGCAAUGGUCAGUGGUGUAAAUUCUAGGUGGAGGCCAGUAAUGAGCAGAGGACUGCAGGGGUCAAUGCAGUGUCCAGUCCUGUUGAGUAUUUUCAUUAAUGACCUGGAUUAUGGAGCAGAGUAUACUCUUAGCAAGUUUGCAGAUGCCACAAAACUGGAAGAAGUGGCUGAUAGAACAGAUGGUCAUGCUGCCAUCCAGAGGGACUUCAAGAGGCUGGAGAAACAGGCUGGGAGGAACCUCAUGAAAUUCAGUAAGAAUAAAUGUACAGUCCUGCACCUGGGAAGAAACAACCUCAAGCUCCAAGACAUGCCACCUAUCUGGAAAGUAGCUCUGCAAAGGAAGACCACUAGGGGAGUCCUGGUGGUGAGGAAUUGAAAUUGACAGAACUGUAGUUAAAAAAAAAAAAGAAGUGUGUGCUCCAAGUGAGCACUUGUUUCAGGGUUGAAUGCCAGGUUGACCUGUACAGUUGGGGAGUGACAGGGGCCAUCCAUCAGCUUCUUCCCCCCAUCCCUGCACUCAGGCAGAGGUCUGAGCAGGAGAGGGUGGGAAGAAAGAUGUGCUUGAGCAAAGCUCUGCCCAGCAGAGGGAUUGGUAAUAGCACAGAGCAAAGCAGUUUCAGAAAAAGAGCUGAUUUUUAACAGCUUCUUCCAAAUCCAUAUUGUAGCACUUCCAUCAUAACCCUGAAGACAGACUUAUGCUGUAAAUUGUUAAUUAAUUUUUAUUUGCUUUUUAAGACAUGCCUGUUAAGCAUUGAUUACCUUUUCUUUAAGCUACUGAUUAAUUUUACUAUUAUACCUAAUUUUCCCUAUGUUCCCUGUAGCUCUCUCUCUAUAUAUAUAAUAUAAAAAUCUUGUAAGUUAGAAAUACUGGAGCAAAUUCUGCCCGAGAAAUACUGCUUGUGAAAUACAGAACUAUUGUCACUGUCACACUUGCUUAAUAAAUGUAUUGAUUUCACAGUAAUUAAUUAUCAGGGAUGGUGAUUAUAUUACAAUAAAUAAUGUGCCCCAUGUCUACUGCCUUAACUCCCCUUUAAAGCUGUUCAAAUGCAAAAAAUUACCAAUAUGAAUCUUGCCACUGAAUGUUCCACUUUUAACUAAACAUUGCUAACUCCAAAACAGUUUAAAAUAUCAUCCUUCUCUCUGUCAUUCACCCUAACAUUAAUUCCCAUCCCCAAAGAUCUCAUCGGUAACCAUGUCUAUCCACCUAUGAAAAGACUGAAAAAUUUGCUUUCCUUCUUUGAUCUUUUUUUUUUUUAAUCCUUACUUAUAAUCCCAUAGAUAUCAAUUUAUAUCACAGAAAGAUAAGGACAAACUUCAAACUUCUUGCAAGAUGUGUCUUCAGCUGUGGAAAAUAAGCAGAGGCCUACUAACUUUGUAAGUGGGAGAUGUUUACAAAAAUAAUGUCUGUAUCAGAUCUAUAGAGGCAGGAAUCACCCUCCAGGGACUGUUGCUCCAAUACGCUUCUCUGCUGGCCUUCUGCCACUGGCAGUAUGGAUUCUCCAGUAAAUGCUUCUUCUGGCAGAGAUCUCUGUAAUUGCUUCACAGAAGUAAUGGAGUAGAUACCACAAGAGUUAAUUCUACAUCGAGCUGUAUUUGCUACUGAUAGGAUUUUCAAGUGGACUGAAAAGGAAAUGAGAUAACAAAAUGACUCAUACCAUUCUUUCUUGCUUGGAGAUCCUUCCUUCAGUGCAGGAGACAAAAGCUUUCUAUGAGGUUCAAAGAAUGAAAAAAGAAGUACCAGCCUGGUUCAGCUUCUGAAAGGGUGCAGCAUAUCUGACAUACAUAAAUGGGAGGCUGGGUCCUUUCAAGCUGGGAAAAUAUUUGAGGCUGUGUGCAUGAACUGAAGUUAGAAGGGACAAUAGGUGGAGGUAUUGACAUAGUAUGUAUUUGCAUUACGUACUGCAAAGUAAGCUCAUGCUUACCUACGUGCGCCUCCAAGCAAAUGUGAUCUUGUUCUGCCCAUACCUAAAAGCCAUUAAAAAACUAUAAGUUCAGUAAAAUUAAUCACCCUCUCAAUAGAGUAUUUAUCAAAAAUUCCUCUUAGUGCUCAAUAGUAUUUUCUGCUACGUUGCUGAAGAGAAGUAAACUUGGCACCAAAAGAUUAUUUUUCCCCUUCUCCUGCAUGACAAGUUCUCAAAAUGGUCCGUGCUGCCAAAGCAGAGACACAAACUUUGGAUAUCCUAGAAUAAUCUACUGGAAACUGAACGCUGAUUGAGCAUCCCAGGAAGGACAAUGAGGAAAAGAAAAGGAAAAAAAGAGAAAGAAAGAAAGAAAUUCCAGGAUGGCAACUCACCAUUUGGUGAAUCUGUUGUGGUUAGAGUGCACAGGUUGCUCACCAUCAGGUAGCUACUACCAAGAAGGGAGGUCUGGAGAAAUAGUUUUGGAGGGUCAGAAAGGUUACAUACACUAAGAAAAGGGUCACUGCCAGUGACAUAAACUUGAGGCGUAUAACAGGGCGCAAAUACCUUUGAUGCAGUAUGAGUCUUAUUUAACUUUUUAAAAAGCAUUUACUUCAUUCUCUACUGAAUGUCUCAUUCCCUAACGGAGAAGCAUACAGCAGCUACUUCCCAUAAAUGUCAAUUGAAUCUGUACCAGUGGUGUUGCUCAAACUGCAUUUUUAAAAAUAAUCUCCAAGCAGUAAAUGUGCUUUUUAAAUUCCCAGUGUUAUGUAAAAAGGCAUGGUAUUUUUAGCUUUACAAAAUAUCAGUUGUCAUCUUCUCACUCUGUCCCUGUGGUAUAUUAGAGAUGGGGAACUAGGAGCUCUCAGAAAGCGAAGGUAUCAACUCUUUACAAGAAAGGGAUUUUCUGCAAUACUGUUAUGCAAAUCUUAAUAAAGACAUACAGCAAAGUCACAACAAAGAAGGUACUUCUUAUUUUAAAAGCUAGUAUUUCUGUCCUCGCUACCAAAUUGUUAUGUCUGGAAUAACAACAGUAUAAUGUAUCCAGAAGGAAAAUAUCAACCAGAACUGUUCACUCAUGCUGACAGAAUGGCCCUCACCUUCAAAAAAUUAUCCAGAAAAUAGUCUCUGACAUAUAACACUGAGCACACAGCUGCUGUGAGUAAGCACUGGCACAUCAACGCUGACUAAAACUGGUUCUGGAAUCAAGUCAGGCCCACUGCUGUUUUUAGGAGAUGGGAAUAAAUCUACCUGCUGUACUAUGCUGUACUCCAUAUGAGAACUUAAAGGACCUAGAAGGCUUGCCUUUGUGCUGACUUGGGAGUGACCUUUCGUUUCCUGUCUGUUUCAAGUCUUCUGAGGUCUAAUGUUCUCACCUGCUGACAAGCUCCUUAAUAAAGCACACACGGACCUUGCUUCUUACCGUGUUCUCUACUGGAAUUUGAGGAACAGGAUCUUCGCAGCUAUAGCAGAGUCUGGUGAAACCAUUUGCUGGUACUAUCUGAUGCUCCCUGUAGGGAGACAUCCCUUACUAGAAGCAGAACAGGAAAGGACAGCAUCCUGUUUACCACCUCACCUUAGUGUAUAUGGACUCAUACGUAUCAGCACUGGGCAAAGGCCCUGUGAUUUCCAUAGACAGAAAAGUGCAGGAAAAACAACAGCCACCAUUCUGGGCAGUAUUAUGUCCAGCAGCUGAUAACCCUUCCAAUUCUCAUAAAUAUCAAGGAGUGCUGCAUUAGAAUAAUGUGAUCUUAGCCAGGGCUAAAGAGGGCUUCCUUUAGUAUUGCUGUGUCUUUAUGCUGGCAGACAAUAAUGUGAUAUUUUUUCUUAGUCCUCGUUGAUUCUGUGGCUGACCAGCAGCUGCAAUUGGGUAGUGUUGCCAUGAAUCGCUAGUGUUUGAAUGCUUACAAGUACUUUCUGUGUUGGCUUGUCAUCAUCCAGCAUCUUUAAUCUUCAGCCAGUUCUGUCCUAAGCAUGCUUUAAGAUAGCUAAGUAGUUUUAAACAGAAGCAAGACACCCACUGAUUCAAUACAUGUUUUUUAUUCACAGUACAGUACUGUGAUCAGCCAUCGCAGUGUUUCAAAAAGCUUCUCUGUUCUCACAUUUUCAAAUGUAGUAGGCCCAUCCUCAUAUAGUAAAACUCUGGAACAAAAGGUGCAGCUGAUGCAGAAGUAUUUCUUCUGCAUUCUGGGGGACAUUAGCUUUUCACUGUUCCCACAGAAUGUUGCUCUUCUUUUCAAUCUCCCCACAGUUGCAGUUGGUUUCAAUGUGCAGUAAGAGCAUUUAUCAUACUUUCACGUUUGCUACUACCUCUUCAUUUUACUAUCACCAAGAAGAAAAAGUUGAAACAAUUGCACGUGAGAAAAGUUAUGGUCUCAUGGUCUCUCCAAUAAUUAUUGAUAUGCUUAGGAAAGUGGAAUUCAUAAGACACCGGGCAACAAGUAUGUAACUUGAAACUUCAUUCCUUGCUUGGAGGUGUAUGGAUUUGGAGAAUAGCAAAUAGUAAAGGGCAGACACAAAUGGAGGCUCUAGGACUCUAGUAAAGACCAGUAAAAGAACAAAACAGAGAGGACGCAGCAUAAUGUUGUCUUCUCACCAGCAUAUGCUGAAAGACUAAAUGAAUUCUGAGACCAAGAGAAUUGUUCUAGCCUCAGAACCAAGCCAGGAACCUGCAAAUACAUAACAUGAAGAAGUAAAAAAGCUUCUAUGGCUUAUUGUCCCUCUAACCUUGACUGCAAAUUAAACUCAUCAAUUUAAAUUUGGGCUUUUGGCACACAAGCUCUGAUACCUGUCUGCAAUGAUAUCAAGUUUGUGGAGUUAGAGGCAGUGAAAAGCAUCAACUAGACCAAAACGUUGUCCACGUUUUUCAAAGCAUUAUCCCUCUCAGUAUUGACCAGUAACCUGUACCCUUUUCUGUCCUGUUAGACAAGAAGACUAAUUUGCAGUGUGUAGUCUCACCCCUAUGGAAUGCGUCCUUUUGAAAUUUAUGAAGGGACGGAUACAGUAUUUUUUAUAUAUGUUAAAAUUUGUAUCUCUAUGGAGAUUUCCUCUUUCUUAAGUCAGAAAAAGACAGAGCCAUUUUACUGCACUGGAGAAAGUAAGCUAUCCUGGUGUGCUCUGCUUUGCUCCGCAAAGUACGUGGACUACUGUAGCUGAGAGAGCUCCAUCCCUUUCAAGGUCUUACAUCUGACGAUACUGUGGCUAUGUCAUUAUACAUUGCCUGCAAUUGUUUGGAUAUCAUAUGUGGCUUUUGCACUGUUCUACAUUUACUGUACCCUUGUACAAAUCCAUAAUCUUUGCUGUACUAUUUCAUAAACCCGUUUUCAAUAUGAGCAUGUAUUUUCUUUUA